AGGGCACCACCAGGAGUGGAGCCUGCGGCUUAAUUUGACUCAACACGGGAAAACUCACCCGGCCCGGACACCGUAAGGAUUGACAGACUGAGAGCUCUUUCUUAAUUCGGUGGGUGGUGGUGCAUGGCCGUUCUUAGUUGGUGGAGCGAUUUGUCUGGUUAAUUCCGAUAACGAACGAGACUCUGGCCUAUUAAAUAGACGGUAUAUCUAGAAAAAGUAUACCGCGCUUCUUAGAGGGACAACCGGCGUCUAGCCGCGUGAAAUAGAGCAAUAACAGGUCUGUGAUGCCCUUAGAUGUCCGGGGCUGCACGCGCGCUACACUGAAAGAAUCAGUAUGCGCCGUCGCCUAGUUCGGAAGAACCGGGUAACCCGAGUAAAUUCUUUCGUGCUUGGGAUAGGGAAUUGCAAUUAUUUCCCUUAAACGAGGAAUUCCCAGUAAAUGCGGGUCAUAAGCUCGCGUUGAUUACGUCCCUGCCCUUUGUACACACCGCCCGUCGCUACUACCGAUUGGAUGACUUA
rnacentral:rRNA from 1 species